UGUAUGAAAAAUGUUGAGCUGCAGUGAUUGCAUUGAAUGCAUUGCUGCAAGGUCAAAAAAAAAAACAGUUAACAGAAAAUUGCACAUUUGUGUUUUGUGCAUUCCCAUUUGAAUAUGCAAAAGCGAACUUCCUCAUCUUUGUUCCGGACCUCUAGUUAAGCAGUUACAUACGGUUUGCACACUUCCUCUACUCACCAAGUCACUAUUCAGACAAAAACCAAACAAAUGAAUGGACUCAGCUCUACUGGUAAAGGCAUGGCUGCGUGGUGUGCAGGACGUGCCAUGCAGUCAGGGGAGUGAGGGCAGGGUCCUGGCCAUGCCAAGCUGUCCAUCCUGGCUAGGAUUCCUGUAGCGAGUGUUGCAUUGACCCUGGCUGUCCUACAGUAAUUAUAAAUAUGCAAACGAAUACAACUGAAGCCCUGGAGGUUUUGGCAGGGCAACUUCUCAAACUCCUUAGAGCUCACACAGACUGUUUUAAAAUUUCUAAAAAUGUGUGACUGAAGGGGAUGUACACAUUACUUGCUCUCAAGCACUGAAGAUACAACAUUCAUUUCCUGAGAUGCUGAGAACAAAGCCCAACACCAUCCAGCUGUGCCACUACCAGCAAGUAACAUUCUGCACCACAGGAAACCAGCAAUACGCUUGACAACUUCAGAAAUACUUUCUUUCAACUGAUCUUGUUGUCCCAGAGAGCUGAAAUGCAGGUUACAAUUCUGAAGCUUAUACUUCACUAAGUUCUGUGUAAUGGCACUACAGCAAGGAAAUCUAUUGUGCUGUAAUCCCUGUCCUCAGCACUAACCAAUUACAAAGCUUAGAGUUGAAAAAACUGCAAUGGGCCACUGUGCAUUUACUCAUGUUUUUUUUUCCAAGCACAAUACCAUAAAACUAAUAAUACAACCAAUGAAAAUAACUAAAUGUUUAAAAGAGUGAUGAAACUAGCUGCAUCUCGUUUCAGUUUUAAAGCAUUACCGUCGUUUCAGUCUGUCAAUAAAGAAAUGAAUCUCUAGCACUUGUGCUUGCAGUGCAAUGCCACAGAACAGAUCUACUGUACCGCAUUUAACAGUUAUUGAAUGAGGCCUGUCCUGCAGCACCAGUUUUGUGCUCUUGUGUAAACUGAUGUUAAAGAUAAGAUACACUAAAUCUAGAAUAAAUGCAGUUCAUAAACACAAAAUUUCAUACAUUGUCAUACAGGGCUAGUUUAUUAUAAAUAAUACGUUCUUACAAAUUAUUAUAAUGUUAACAAUAGCAAUGCAAUUGUAAAACAUAUCCAAAACAAUUGUUCUGUGUUCCUUUCUCUCGUAUGAAGCGUGCAGUACGAGACUGCUUAAAUAAACAGUGAUGUCAUUUGAAAUUCCUUACAGUCAAAACUGAUUUUUCGGAAUGAGUUUUCGAAAAACUGGCAACAAAAGUUUCUUUGUCUUUUUUUUUAAGUGGAACUUUUUCAGUGGUAUAUAAACACAUGCGGACACAGAAAUGUGUCACCAUUUAUAAUGACCUUGUGUAAGGUUUGAACUCACAUGGCCGUUUUGUACUUUUAAUGAACAGAAACCUAUCCAUGGGAAAGUUGCUUGAGCAAACGGCAUAAUUAUAAUGAAAAAGAAGGAGCAGAAUGAUAAAACCAGAGCAGUUACAAUGAAGGAAGAAUUAUGGAAGAACGAUGUACACCUAUAAAAUAGGUUUAAUUCGAGCUCCUUGAUAGAGCAGGAGAAAUGAAGUAAAGACUGCUGUCCAGGCUCACUGGAAUUGUUAAAUAUACCUCUUCUGUACUGCAUGCUGUUUAUUAAUAAAGCUUGUUAAACUUAA